rnacentral:rRNA from 1 species
UACGUAGGGCGCGAGCGUUGUCCGGAAUUAUUGGGCGUAAAGAGCUCGUAGGCGGCUUGUCGCGUCGACUGUGAAAUCCCGCGGCUCAACUGCGGGUCUGCAGUCGAUACGGGCAGGCUAGAGUUCGGUAGGGGAGACUGGAAUUCCUGGUGUAGCGGUGAAAUGCGCAGAUAUCAGGAGGAACACCGGUGGCGAAGGCGGGUCUCUGGGCCGAUACUGACGCUGAGGAGCGAAAGCGUGGGGAGCGAACAGG